ensembl:lncRNA
GAUUCAUGGACGAUCUGGGUUCAUUUAGAACGAUUCGAUUCAGUGACUUGAAAUCGAUUCAGUGACUUUACUGGACAGUGCAGGCAAAGUUUCUGAGAUCCCUGUUGUUUCUUGUAAGGAAAUCAGGUUUAAAUUAAUUAUAAACAAGCAAACACAAUUAAUGGCAAAUGUAUAAACCUUUUAUUUGAAUCAAGUUCCAUUUUCAUUGUAAACAUUAGACAAUAAUUACACAAUGUUUGGAUCAAUUCACAGACACCACAUCGUAGGGUCGCACGUCGUUACAGAUAAACUUGUUCCUGUGAUGAGUUUGGUGCUGGAGGCCUGAGGCGUCUGCAGAGCUGAGUUACCUGCUGCUGCUGCAGCGGUGACGCUGCUGGAGGUCCUGACUGUCGGCGUUGUUUAAUCCCACGGCGCCUUAGUAGACGGCCGCAAAGAUUCCUCGUGUUUCUGUGGUUUUUUAUUUGGCUUCUACAUAUUCUACAAACAGCGAGCGACUUAUUUAGAACACCUCCGUGUUUGCAAAAGCCCAAAUGUUUCCACUGGAUCGAUGAGUUGGUUUGUAAAUGUCUCGCUUGCAGUCGUCUCCUCCACGCCGUGUGUUGUUGUUGUUCAGAGUUUCGCGCGGCGGCCGCUGCGUACUGAUGACGUCACCGACAGGCAGACUGAAUCCAGUGACGUUUAAAAACAAACACACACACAUCCACGCCGUUGUUGUACUUAAAUCCAAUGUGCAGUUUCCAAGUAUCGAUACAAUCGAUUAUGUACCAUUUCAAUCGAUUUGUAAUCGAUACAUGUCGUCUGGAAUGCCGAUUUGCGGAGCACAGAUCGAUUCAGUUGGAUCGCAGGAAUAUAAAUCGAUUGAUCGAUUCACUGAUGAAAUCGUUACACCCCUACUAAUUACCCCCCCCCCCCCCCUCUCCUCUCAGCUCUCCCCCUUCCCCUUCGAUCUGGUGAAAGCGGAGACGGAUCGCUACGCGGCGGCCGACUGGUCUGGUGCCAGGAGGAGCACAAGAACCAGGGUUACUAUGACUACGUCAAGCCCCGCCUCCGCACCACCGUGGGCCACGCGCGGCCCGUCUGGUACGCGGGUCGUGACCCGGCGGCGGCGCCGUCUACCGGGAACAAAGCGACUCACUUGGCGGAGCUGCAGCGGCUGAUGGACGCGGCGUUCUCAGGGAAAGUCUAGUGGGGGUUUUAUUAUCUUUCUAUUUUUUACACAUCAGACCUCGUUACCGUGACGACCUCGUGUUCGCAGCUACGGCCUCUGUUGUCGAGUUCAGUGCUUUUAUUUUGAAAUGAAUUGUAAUAUUUAUGAUAAUAAUAACGCACGUGCAUCUGUCAGAUACCGUAAUCAAUCCGCUGCUGAACAAAGGUUUGAACCAUUUAUUGAUUUCCUAGAAAUGUGUCAUUUACCAGCUCACUAAUAUUCCACUUGUAUUCAGAAUUUGACAAUAUUCUGAAUGUGACGCGUCAUAUUGUGUCAGGUUAGCCGCAUGCUAAGGCAACCAGCGGCUACUCCUCUUUAAAUGGGAUUGAUUGACAGCCGUAUCGGGGGUUAUUUGAGAUGAUUGUCGGGAUAUUUAAGAAUGUUUUUGCGUGAUUCCUCCACAAAUUGAAACAUUAAUUAAAUCUUUAAUUCAGAGAGUAAAAAAAACACACAACAUCGUAUCCAGUCUUCAUCAGAAGUGCCGAUUCCUUGAUCUCGAUUCCUUGAUCUCGUUUCCAUGACGACGUCACGCGAAGAACGAACUUCAGCAAAAAAGUUGCAUUGUAUUUAUUUUCGUGAAGUGUUUUGGAUGAAUAAAGAUUGUAGUUCCUGGUGAA